CUGUUUUUGGGAGAAAUUAUCCAGAGUUUGUUUGUAGGCAAUUAGCCUUUUUUUAUUUUGGAUUUAUCUGCAAGUGACUUGACAUUUAUUGAGCAGAAAUGUCGUAUGCUCCUGGAUUGGUGAUGUCGAUUUUUGUGGCUGCUGAAGCCCUCCCACCCCAGCCCACGGAACCACUCCCACCCCAACCGCUGCCAGCCCUCCAACCGCAACCGGCUCCUCAUCAACCAAGGCAACGGAGGCGUGCUAGGCCACCAAUUUUCCGUACCCGUGUCCUCCUUUUUGGGAUGCCUGAUGAUGUGGUUUUGCGAAGAUACAGGCUGCCACCUCAUCUAAUCCUAGACACUCUCUCCAUAAUAGAGAGUGAUCUUGAAUCUUCAAUUCGGUAUCCUACAGCAAUAACACCAUUGACACAAUUCCUUGCUGUGUUACAUUUUGUUGCCACUGGUUCAUACCAGCAUGUGGUGGGAGAUCUGGUUGGCAUGUCGCAGGGCCAGUUCAGUAAGGUCCUACGGCGUGUCAGCCAGGCUUUCAUCAAGCGUGUAAAGCAAUUUAUUGCUAUGCCUUUGGAUGUUGGUGCCCUAGAUGUGGUGAAGCGGCAAUUUGAGGAAGGUGGUAGUCGCUUCCCACAUGUUAUUGGGGUUGUGGAUGGCACACAUGUAGCUAUUGUGCCACCAAGACAUAAUGAAGAAAUUUAUAGAAACAGGAAACUGUUUCAUUCUCUGAAUGUAAUGGUUGUUUGUGGGCCAUCCCUCCAGAUCCUG